CUGAGUCACCGCCGCACAGAAUCUUCCAGGAGCCCCAGGCGCAGUUAGGAGGGGGGAUAUCGCGGCGGAAUAAGGAAACCGAGGCACGCAGACACCCCCGCCCCCGGGGGGAGAUUGCAACAAGGGCUCUUGAGCUGACUGCAAGGUGAAGCUUCCAUACAUUGCACAAAAGAUUCCCUCUUCAAUGAGAGAACAAGGGUGAGGGCGAGCAUUUGUGGCGGAGGCAUUCAGCCCACAGUUUGGCAGGGAGCGGCUGCUGGGUGACAGGCGGUUUCUACUUUAAAACAGUCACCAUUAUUACCACCGCUGCUGCAGAGAGGUGUCUAGGAGCUGGGAAGUUGUGAUCUCCCCGGCUCAGGAGGGAACCAAGCCGAGGCUGAGCAAAUCUGAGAUGGAAACUCAUGCUCUCCACUUCCUGAAAGCAGUCUGCCCCUGAGCCCCCUUGGAGUCUACCCCGGAUGGAUGGGAUGAAGGAAGCCAGAGGUAUCAGCCUGUCACUGUUCUUUGUCACAGAUCUCAAGGUCUACUCUCACCAAUGCUUUCUAUAAUCGCCACCCUCCCCCAAAACCCAAACAACCCGGGGUUUCUCUGUGUAGCUCUGGCUAUCUUGAAACCCACUCUGUAGCCCAGGCUGGCCUCAAACUCAGAGAUCCGCCUGUCUCUGCCUCCUGAGUGUUGGGAUUAAGGGCGUGCACUGCACCCAGCCUGUUUUCUUUUUGUUAUGGUGCUUGGGGCAGAACUCAGAGCUUCUAAAGAGAUGGGUGAGCACUGCAUGGUUGACCCAACCUCCAAGACCCUCUCUAGUGAUUUGAUCUGUUUGCUAGCCUGUUUCUUAAACUGCAGCAUAGACUCAGUCUGCCCAAGCGCCCCCCCCAUUGACGCGAGACUCCUCCUUUGAGUUUUCUUUGGCCACAGAGAGCAUCUGCGCCUCCUUCACUGUUGCAUCCCCAAAGGGUACCACAGCUCAGCAAAGCUCCUAAAGUUCAUUCAUUCAUUCAUUCAUUCAUUCCGGACAGGGUCUCUUGUAGGCCAGGCUGGCCUUGACUCUUGGUCCUCCUGUCUCACAGCCUCAAGUGCUGGGAUGACUGGUGUAGGAUGACAUCACGUCUGGCUGUGUUCUGUUUUAUUUUGCAACAGGAGCUUUUUUGGAGGAACCAACAGGGGAGGGCAGGGGAGGGGUGAGGGUGGGGACUCUAAGCAGAGGCCUUCCCACUGAGCCACACCUCCCAGGCUCUCUGCUUUGCUGGUUUCUGUAACAUUCUCAGCAGAGUUACAUUUGUCUACAGUUUAUGAAGAAAACACUCUACCUAGUUCUCCA
rnacentral:lncRNA from 1 species